AACGCUGGCGGCGUGCCUAACACAUGCAAGUCGAACGCGAAAGGGGCUUCGGCCCUGAGUAGAGUGGCAAACGGGUGAGUAACACGUGGGUGACCUACCUUCAAGUGGGGGAUAACGUUCCGAAAGGAACGCUAAUACCGCAUAUUGUCCCGUCUUUAGACAGACGACGAUGAAAGCCGGGGAUCGCAAGACCUGGCGCUAGGAGAGGGGCCCGCGUCCGAUUAGCUAGUUGGUGAGGUAACGGCUCACCAAGGCGACGAUCGGUAGCCGGCCUGAGAGGGCGGACGGCCACACUGGGAUUGAGACGCGGCCCAGACUCCUACGGGAGGCAGCAGUGGGGAAUUGUUCGCAAUGGGCGCAAGCCUGACGACGCAACGCCGCGUGGAGGAUGAAGGUCUUCGGAUUGUAAACUCCUGUCGAACGGGACGAACACCUUCCGGGUUAAUACUCCGGGAGGCUGACGGUACCGUGAGAGGAAGCGA
rnacentral:rRNA from 1 species